CCUGGCCCGGCCAAAACGCCGGGUCCUAGAGGUACCUGCCGGGGAAACACCGCGUCCUGGAGCCGCUCGGCCGUGCCGGGAACAGCGCCUGAUCCUGGUGCCACCCGCCGGGCCCGCGCAUGAGAUGGAGGUGCUGUGCUGGGGACCAGUAAGGGACCGGCACUGGGGACACUGGAAACCUCAGGGACCUGUUGAGGUCACAGGGUGUGAGCCCAGGUGUGCUGGGACCGGCCCUGGGGACACGGAGCCGCACGGGUCGGACCCCACGUGUGAUGGGGACCAGUAAGGGACCGGCACUGGGCGGGAUGGGAGGAGCAGGACGGCUGCGGGAAAAGCCCUGCAGGGACGGGCCCGAGCGGGCUCCAUCACCCAGCCCAGGAGUUUCCUUUGGCUCUGGCGCUGCGAGGAGGAUUUGGGAGAUUUGAGCUGAAGCAGAGCGAGGAUUAAUCAGGAUUAUUGAGAUAUUAGCUGGAAUAUUAACUGGUUUACAGGGGAUGAGGUCCCUAGGGCACAAAUAUCCAUCAGCCCCAAAUUAAAACUCUAAUGAGCUGGAAUAAGGUGUGAGGGUAAACUGAGGCACAGAUUAGAGCCAACCCUCGGCCUCCACGAGCCCCCCGCGGCUUUUCCGAGUUCACUUCGGAGCCGUCGCUCUCGCCCGUUUCGUUUCCUCCUUCGGAGGUUUCGCUUUUCGCUCAAAACCCGAAGGGGAAAUUCCCUCCCCCGAAUUUGCUGCUGCUCGACUUUCAGGCGGCCGCCACUCUCAGCUCGUCACCGCGGCCGCCAGCACGGUCCCCAGCACGCAGGUGGCUGUUCCCUCUGCUGUCCCCUGGAGUGAUGGAGAUGGAGGAGGUGUUCCUGCAGCUCUGGGGGGAGGUGGCCAGGCUGCAGGAGCUGUGCUCGGAGCAGGGGAGGCUCCUCCAGAGGCUGAGGACCAGGAAGGGACCAGUCCUCGACAUCCCGGUGUCGCUGCCUAUCCAGUGCACGGAGGACGUGGUGCCAGGGGACGGGCAAAGGUCACCUGAGAGCGGCCAAAAACACCCAGGGGCUCUGACAUCCUCCACAUCCCCCCUGGAGGGCUCUGCUUGUCCCAUGGAACAUCCCCAGGCCACCAACAGGCUCCCCCCAGGCCCUGGGAAUGGCGUCAGAACCGGAGGAGCCGCAGCUUUUGGCAGCAGCGAGGGGGAGAAGGGAGAUGUGCCCACCUGGAUGAGAACCUGGAUCCUCCCUGUCCCCUGGGAAGGAGGAAGAGCCCCCUGCAGCCCUCGGGAGUUGGAGGCACUAAAUCCAGGGGCUGGGGGCUCCUUCCCAAAUCUUCUGGAUCUCUACAGAGCCCCAGAAGUGCUUGAGAGGGAAGAUGCUCCCAGGGAUGUGGCUCUCCCUGGGGAGGCUCUGGUGGAGAUCCGAGGGCCUGUGAAGACGUGCUGGACUCCAGGCUGGGUGCUGGAGGAGGAGAUGCUCAGGACCGACCCCACCCGUGAAGCUGCUCCAGCCUGUGACCUGUGCCGGGAGAUUUUCCCCUCGGAUGCAGCGGGACACGUGGAAUAUUUGAACCAUGUCUUGGCCCAUCUGGAGUAGGACUUGUAUUCCCAAUGGGAAAUCCAUGGAUUUGCACCACAGGACAGACUCUGCACAUUCCCAAGCUGGACUUGAUGGCCUUGGAGAGCUUUUCCAGCCCUGGGAUUCUGUGGCUGAUGAGGAUUCCGGGAUCCUCCUGCUGGUUUGGACUGGGAGCAGCUGCCACGUCCCCCAUCCUUCUCCAUGUAGAAUGAGCUCCCAGAUUUGGAUUAUCCUGGCUGUGUUUUGGGUUACUCAUCUCUGUGGAUGUUGAAGCCAAUCCUAUCCUGGGGUCUGGAGGUGCAACUCCUGGGAAAAGGGAAUUUCUCAAAAUUUGCCUUUGACACAGUGGAAAUGAAUCCUCCAUAAAUAGUCAGGGAUGUUUGGGAAGACACAUUGGCUUUCUCUGGGAGUUUGGAAGGUUGGGUGGGAGAAUCUCAAGGUUUUUGGGGUCACUAAGUAUUUUAAUUCAUUAACAGUAAUUUGAGAGUUUUAUGGCUCUUCCAUCAGUGGUAUCCAAUGUGUUUCCCAAAGGGUUUCACUACAGCAGUGGGGAAAUCGAGGCACAAAUCAUGGAUCAUCUUCAAAUCCCUUUAUUCUUCUGGAAAAAUCUCAUCUCAGGCUUUUCUAUUUUGUAAGUUUCUCCUGAAGUGGAUUUGGCAUCUCCUGUUUGAGAAAACUUGUGUUGAAAUGGAGAGCCAGGUUCUCCUCUAAUUCCAGGGACUGGGAAGAAUUGGGAUCUCCAGCUCCAACGUUCUCCUCUUUGGCAGCACAGAAAAGUCAGGAGUGAAUUUUCUUCCCCAAAGCAGAGCCACAUUAAUGGAUUAACCCAUGACAAGCCCACAUGUCCCCAGGGUCCCUGGAACCAUUUUCCAAAACAAAUCCCACAGCUCCUUUCUCUGGAUCCGCAGCUUUGACCUUGGAUUCUCCAUCCAUGUGGAUAUUGGAGCUGCUUCCAGCCCUGGGUAGAACUGGGGCCUUUAUUUCACUGAAAAUGGAUUUUCUCAAGGUUUUCUUGGGAUUUUCUCCAGGUUUUCUCCACAUCACAAUGAAGUUUCCCACCACUCUCUCCAUUUCAUCCUGUGGCUCCUCAAAUUAAUUUGGACUAUUUGAAAGGGUUUUAUGCUCUUCUUAGAGGAGAAACCCUCAUUUCCCAGGUGAAUCCCUGGAAGCUGCAGACCCAAAGCUGGAGCAAGGACCCCAUCAGAUUAUUCCCAUUUAUUGGCACCAAAUGGCAGGAGCUGCCUGGAGGGAGGAAUCCAGCCGGGCUCUCCUUGCCUGGGAAACUGAACUCCCAAAGCAGGAGCACAGAUGAUUUUUGUCAAGAGUCAAAACCCUGCUGUGGGGCUGGUGUGGCUCUGCAAAGCCCAAAAUGCCGUGGAAAAUCCCCCUGGGAGCGCUUGGGAUGAGCCACGAGAGAACUUGUGCUGAUCCUCCAUCCCUGGGGAGGCACAGCAGUGGAAGCUGCACAGACCUGGCCUCUCUCAAGGACCUUUUUAGCUCUGGGGGUAAUUAAUUCUGCCCUCCCAGAUGGUCCCCAGGGACACGGAGCUUCCUUUUGGGAUCCAGCCCUUUCCAGGGCAGGAACGUGGCUCUGGCUCCGAAAUAACUUUAAUUGCAGGGUGCUGCUGGGGCCCGUGGGUGGGCUGCGGUUCUUUGGGCCAGGCUGGGCUCCAGGUGGGUGGGAGUCAUUUUGGGAAAGGCAGGAGCUGGGUGAGGGCAGGUUCCCAUCAGGAGAAGUUGGAAAAGCGGGAUUGGGUGAAGUCUGUGCCAGGAGAACUCAGGGAUAAGGGUGUCCCACUCUUGUUUUCCAAGUAGGGAUGGAGCUGGCGAUGACACUCCUGGGGAAACCACGGCAGCAAAAAUACAGCUGGAAACGGGAUUUUGGGUGGAAAAUACUCAUUUUUGAGGGUUUCUAAUUCGGGGUCUGGGCUGUAGGAGGAGGAAGGGGCUGCCCGGGUGCUGGGGGUGUCCUGACAUCAAGCUCUGUGCACUAAUCUGUGUCCAAACACCCCCAAAUUCCAAUAUCCAACUCCUCUGGGGCCACAUUUUCAGAGGAGAUAAAAUAAAUGAGGGUGGGGCAGGGCGGGAUUUCA
ensembl:lncRNA